rnacentral:rRNA from 1 species
UACGAGGGGGGCAAGCGUUGUUCGGAAUUAUUGGGCGUAAAGGGCGCGUAGGCGGUUUGACAAGUCUGAUGUGAAAUCUCUGGGCUCAACCCAGAGUCUGCAUUAGAAACUGUCGGGCUUGAGUAUGGGAGAGGUGAGUGGAAUUUCCGGUGUAACGGUGAAAUGCGUAGAUAUCGGAAGGAACACCUGUGGCGAAAGCGGCUCACUGGACCAUAACUGACGCUGAGGCGCGAAAGCUAGGGGAGCAAACAGG